rnacentral:rRNA from 1 species
CAGUAGCCACGGUAAUACAGAGGGUGCGAGCGUUAAUCGGAUUUACUGGGCGUAAAGCGUGCGUAGGCGGCUUUUUAAGUCGGAUGUGAAAUCCCUAAGCUUAACUUAGGAAUUGCAUUCGAUACUGGGAAGCUAGAGUAUGGGAGAGGAUGGUAGAAUUCCAGGUGUAGCGGUGAAAUGCGUAGAGAUCUGGAGGAAUACCGAUGGCGAAGGCAGCCAUCUGGCCUAAUACUGACGCUGAGGUACGAAAGCAUGGGGAGCAAACAGGAUUAGAUACCCCCGUAGUCCCUGUCUCUUAUAC